CCUACGGGAGACAGCAGUGAGGAAUAUUGGUCAAUGGCCGAGAGGCUGAACCAGCCAAGUCGCGUGAGGGAAGACGGCCCUACGGGUUGUAAACCUCUUUUGUCGGGGAGCAAAGCGAACCACGUGUGGUUCAUUGAGAGUACCCGAAGAAAAAGCAUCGGCUAACUCCGUGCCAGCAGCCGCGGUACUACGGAGGCUGCGAGCGUUAGCCGGAUUGAUUGGGUUAAAAGGGUGCGCAGGCGGAGGUGCAAGUCAGCGGUAAAAUUGCGGGGCUCAACCCCGUACUGCCGUUGAAACUGCAUCCCUUGAGUGCGCGAGAAGUAUGCGGAAGGCGUGGUGUAGCGGUGAAAUGCAUAGAUAUCACGAAGAACUCCGAUGGCGAAGGCAGCAUACCGGCGCGCAACUGACGCUCAUGCACGAAAGCGUGGGUAUCGAACAGGAUUAGAUACCCUAGUAGUC
rnacentral:rRNA from 1 species